rnacentral:rRNA from 1 species
ACUCCUACGGGAGGCAGCAGUGGGGAAUAUUGCACAAUGGGGAAACCCUGAUGCAGCCAUGCCGCGUGUGUGAAGAAGGCCUUCGGUUGUAAAGCACUUUCAGUAGGGAGGAAGGUAGUGUAGUUAACACCUGCACUAUUUGACGUUACCUACAGAAGAAGCACCGGCUAACUCCGUGCCAGCAGCCGCGGUAAUACGGAGGGGUGCGAGCGUUAAUCGGAAUUACUGGGCGUAAAGCGCAUGCAGGCGGCCUGUUAAGUCAGAUGUGAAAGCCCGGGGGCUUAACCUCGGAAUUGCAUUUGAAACUGGCAGGCUAGAGUCUUGUAGAGGGGGUAGAAUUUCAGGUGUAGCGGUGAAAUGCGUAGAGAUCUGAAGGAAUACCAGUGGCGAAGGCGGCCCCCUGGACAAAGACUGACGCUCAGAUGCGAAAGCGUGGGGAGCAAACAGGAUUAGAUACCCUGGGAGCACAGAGAGUGACAAGGCACACAGGGGAUA